CGGAGGAAACUGCGUCCUGAUUUGCAUUAUCCUUUAAAAACUUAUACAGAUGGAAAAGAAGCAGAGGUGAAGACAGAGAGAAAGCAGAAGGACAAUUAUUUCUGUCUUCACACUCAAGAGACUAGAGUCUCUAGGUAAGUUUAAACUAGGAAACUGAAGUAAGAAUGGAUGAGCUGUUUUUUGUGAUCCUCCUCUCUACAGGUUUUUGUGCCAUCACUUCAUAUAUGUUUUUUGACUAUCCAAUGACCUGGCAUGAUGCAGAAAGUUACUGCUUUAAUGGUAAAACUACGCUGGUUCAAACAGAUGAUGUGUUCCACUCAAACUGGAAAAAUUCAGGAUACUCCAAGGCCUGGAUUGGACUGAUUACCAGCACCUCUGUAUGGCACCACAUAAGCAACGAAACGGCUCAAUAUUUCAACUGGAGCUCCGGUCAGCCAGACAACCUCCUCAGUGAACUGUGUGUGUCUAUGACUGAAGUUGGAGAUUGGUAUAAUUGCAACUGUUCUGAACUUAAACAGUCUGUUUGCUAUGACGGAACAAGUGUCUCCAUUGAGACAGAAAGGAACUGGAUGGACGCCGUAAUCAACUGUGAGGCUAAAAAUGAAUCUCUGGUCCAAAUCUCUGAUGAAACAAUGAAUGCUGAAAUCAGAAAUCUGUUGUCCAUUGUGAAUACAGAAAUCUGGAUUGGCAUAAGGAGAGAAAUUCUUUGGGUCUGGUAUGACACUGGAGAAAUUUACAGUUCCCAAAACUGGACAGAAAGCCAAAUGGAAAAUGUUACUGAGAAUGAACUUUGUGCAGCCAUUGGGUUGGAAAACUGGACCCUGACAAAAGAGUCAUGCAAUGCGUUGUACCCUUUUAUUUGCUCAGAGAAUGUAGAUUAUAGAAAAGGCUCUUCAAGUGGAUCCUCAGGUGGUUCAUCAGGUGGUU